CUGGCUUCCGAUUGGCUGCCCGCGCGGUCCCGCCAGCCUAUAGGAGCGGCGGCGGCCGUUGCGGCGGGGCUGCUGAGCGCGCUGGCAGCUCCGGGCAGAACAUAGCGGGCGGAGUUGAAGCGACCGCCCGAGUGGCCGCUGGAGGGGUGACUCACCCGUUAUGUGAGGAGAGGUGUGCGCACCACGCACGGCGCUUUUUAGGCAGAACGGGGCAGUGAACCUGCUUUUCCUUGGGUUCCAUGAGGAUUAGGCAUCAGAGAGAUGUGAGUCCAAGUUUACUGAAGAAGAAAAGAGAGCCAUCCGAGUUGGAAGCAGAUGCCAUAGAGAUCCGAUCUAAACUGACUGGGGAAAAGAACAUGAGUGACUUAAUUCACACAGACAAGGGAAUAAAACAUGAAUUAACUAAGACAGUGAAGUCCAACAGUGAUAGCAAAACAAUCCUUCCUCAUGUCCUCAUUUCCCAAGCAGUUUCAUCAUCAAAACGAUGAGUAGUUCUCACAGCUGGGAUCCUGUGCUGCCAUGUGCUGUCACAAACAUGUUUCUCUGAAAGUUUUAAAACAACACUUCAGGCUUGCUUAUCCACUCACGCUAAAUUCCAAUAUGUAGGGGAAGAAAGGUAUUAAAUACAGAACAAAAUUACCAAUGCUAUAAAGUACUCUUUCUCACUGUGCCAAUGUUUUCUUUGACCUUUCUGAUGGUGUUAUGAUGUCACUGCUCUGCAGCUUUGGCCUAUUUUCUGCCUAGCCUACACUGGGCUAGAUUUGAUGGAAAUAAACAUCUUACAUAACA
rnacentral:lncRNA from 1 species